UACGAACGCUGGCGGCGUGCUUAACACAUGCAAGUCGAACGGACAGGCCCUACUUUUGCGGGGUGCUCGAUUGCCGAACGGGUGAGUAAAACAUGAGUAACCUGCCCUUGACUUUGGGAUAACAUCUGGAGACUGGGGCUAAUACCGGAUAGGAGCUCCUGCUGCAUGGUGGGGGAUGGAAAGAUUCGGCGGUUGGGGAUGGACUCGCGGCUUAUCCGCUUGUUUGUGGGGUAGUGACUUACGAAGGCUUUGAAGGGUAGCCGGCCUGAGAGGGUGACCGGGCACAUGAGGACUGAGAUACGGACCAGACGCGUACGUGAGGCAGCAGUCGGGAGUAUUGCGGAAUGGGGGGAAGCCUGAUGCAGCGACGCCGCGUGCGGGAUGCCGGCCUUCGGGUUGUAAACCGAUUUCGCCUGUGACGAAGCGUGAGUGACGGUAAUGGGUAAAGAAGCACCGGCUAACUACGUG
rnacentral:rRNA from 1 species